rnacentral:lncRNA from 1 species
UAAAAAAACAGGAAUCUCCAUUGUAAAAAAACAGGCAUCUCAACUCAACAAGUACAUUAUUCCAUAUACAUAAAAUGUUAGAUUCAGCCACAUAAAUGUUAUUCGGAGACGAGAUUCAACCCAAUCCGAACCUUUCGAGCUGCGGAGAUUGUAACUUAUGUUCACUUAUGUCAAUCUAAUCUCCAACUGCUUUGAUGAUGGACAUAGGGACACUUAGAAACUAAAAUCUAUCAUCGAUUCAAUUCCUCUUCUUUGAAUGGGAGAAAAGGUAACAAAUAGUGACGCAGACAGAUGACAACUGAGGGUUAUCCUUCACUAACUAAAACGCUAAGGUUCAAAUUCAAUGCCGACUAAUAAAUGUGGGAGAUUUAGACUACAUAGCGAAGGUUUGAGAUUAAACCACAAACCAUUGACUGCGCAGCUAGCCUGUGCCAUUCAUCACAUUCCUUUACCAGGAGCUGCAAGAAAGGAAUUGCCUGUACAGAGAGACUAGGAUGACUUGGACUGCAAGGUAACAAAAGAAUUGCCCCUUCUUAAGUAAGGCGAGGUGGGUUGUUUUUCUUAAUGCCAUAACUUGCUGCAGAACCCAUUCCUAGGCCUCUUGCUGGAUACGACAUCCGAGAACGAAUCAACCAACUGUUCGGCUAAGCUACCAUGGUCAUCAUUCAGAGUCCUAAUGAAAGUAUGCACCACUCUCCGCUCCUGUUCCGUUGAUCUCAAGCUAAACCACGUCAGCAAUUUCAGUCUGAAUUCCUGAUCGAUGUGACCUCCACAUUCCAGCAUUCGGAUCGUCUUCACACACGCGACGACCCGACAUUACAUUCAAAUCAAGCCCUUGUAAAGCAGUUGGCAAGUGAAUAUCAUCAUCUCGAGUCUCUGCUAUGGUUAAAGCAGCAUCACAACACUUGUCAGUGCCAGCACUACAGAAACCUUCUACGCCGGCUCGCUCUUGUGCCCACGCCAUACGUAUGAUUUUCCCAAGCUCCCGGACUCUGAAUCCGGAGAAUUCACUCCCUCUUUCGUUAGGAUGAUCAUCCGUCUUACCAUUUUCUACAACAGAAGAAGAACGAGGAUGCUUACGAAUAAUGUCAACACUUUUGGUGAAACACUUGGCCUCUGAAUGACCUAAAUCACCAGAAUCAGUGUAUGACAUAAUUCGAAAUGUAUACUCUGUGCAUGGCUGCAGAUUUGUUAUCAGAAUCCUCCUCUGAGUCUUUGGGAACACACUAACAGGUUCCUUUUGAGGCGUCUCUUCUCGACUCUUGCUAUACCACAGUUUGUAACCCUUAAUAUCAUCAGCAAACGAUGCAGCUGAUAUUUCGAUCAGAAUAAUAAUGACGGAGGAAGAUGUUACUUCUUCAAAGAAAAACCUGCAAGCUGCUGGCAGUGAGCCCUCUGGAAAAUAAGAAAGAAGUGAUUAUUAGGAUUUCCGUAUUGCGGAGUCUGCUGACAAUGCCCCGUGCCAAGUUGGCAGAAACACCGUUUAUCGAGCCAACCUCGGUCUCUAGCUUGGCUUUCGCAACUUUUAUGAAUUCGUGCAACUCUUUGAAUCUUGAAGUUCUGUCCAGUAAUCUAUAACUAAGGUCUAUUCUAUAGCAUAGCACAUCAACACGACGGGCAUCUUUAGCAAUACUCAGCUGCUUCUUCCAGGAUCUGCACGUAUGUAGACAAUUUGACGAUAACGCACCCUUUCUAUAUAGGAUUGCAAGAGAAACGAAAUGAAAAACAAAUACUUACUCUAGAAUGCCAGACACUUUACCACAAGAAGCGCAGCAAUAACUGCCAUCUAGCUGCAUGAGUUGCCCGAGAUCAACAACUCCAACCUUUUCAUGCUGGAAGGCACACUCAAUGUGACAAGAGAGCCCACAAGAAUCCUCAUCACUGGAUUCAGAUGUGCAGAACAACCACAGACUCGGGUCUUUAUUCUCGUCAAAGGAAUGACAGAUACAGCAAGAACAUCUCUUACAAAAUGAGUCCGCAGCAAGAACAUCUCUUGCAAAAUGAGUCCUCGAUGGAUAAGACAGCUCGGCAGGCAGAAUUUUUACAUAUCCACGAGUUUUCACUCCCAAAUUCCGGUGAUUCAUCAGAGGAAUGCACGAUCCGCGCAGGAUUAUCCCCCUUUCUUUUCUGCUUCUUUGAAGAAGACUGAUUAUUGGUGGCAGGAAUUUUCUUUGUUUCCUGCUUCUUGUUCGUUUUGUUACCCAACUGAAGUUCAGUCAUUUUGCCUUUGGAUGAUGCUGAUUGUUUAUUGUCCUUACCAAAGGAAGUACAGAGAAGGGCCUUUCUGGGACCAGAUUUCAGAAACUCUUGAAUUAGCUCUGAACUUCUUGAAGCCUCAUCGGAAUUAUUAUUUUUCUCUCGAGUGCUAUCACACUGGAAGAGAGGUUUUGAACACCAGAAACUGGAAUAAGACAAGGGGCUAAUUUAAGAAAUUGAAAUGCGCUCCAAAAUCUGUCAGAUUAAAAUGCAGAAAGUUCAUCUGCAACAAUUUUCUUUUGUAAGAUUCUCAGCCAUGCAAUAAAACGGAGAGAAUACGGAACCCAAAAACAACCAUUCAAAUAGAAAUCCAUGCAGACGAAGUAACCAAGACAUGACUAGGACAAAGUCAAAAACAUUUUGGUACUGCAGUCAGGAAAACACCUUCCAAUCAAAUUACAGAAGUUUGACAUAAAAGCAGAGAUCUGAAUGCCAGCUCCUAUUGGAAUCAUUCUUACAUCCGGCAGUUUUUGUAAACAACUUCGGUUUGAAAAGAUUUCCUUUUUUUAUCAGAUGCAGAUUCCGAACCAGGGAGCAUGUGAGCAAGAGAAAGUCAUCAGGAACACGGGCCAGGAAAGUGUUAUUCUUCACAAGAAACAAUCUUCAAUUUCAUCAACCUCAGCCUAUGAGCAACUUAGUAACCAUCGAUCGAUUACAAGCCAAACUCAAUUUUGAGAGGUCAGAGACAGACCAUACCUCUGCCGUGGAAUUUAUCAUCCAAGUCCAUUACUAUACAGAUCCGCCCAAUAGCUUUAGCUGCCCUACCUAUGACAAAGAUGCUAGAAAUGUCAGUAAAUUGACAUGGGAAUUCUUAUCCAGAAGCUCAAUCAAAAAUACGUUAACAUGCUACUCAAAUUUAUAGAAUCCAACCCAUUCGUGAGGGGAGACAAAGAAGGAUCGAGAUCAUCAGUUACCCACGUCUUCAAAGUAAGAGAUAAUUUUUAUGUAAGUUGAAUGCCGAAUGCAGAUACUGGUAAAGACAAAAAUGAACAAUGAAACGCACAAACUCCGUAGAGAAAGCAACAAAUUCUAAGAUUCAUACUUAAAAAAACAGUAGCCUAGCUGAACUGGGAACUUCCAGAGAAAGAACAAAAUAGAAGGCCUAGCGAACAAGAACAAAGAUUGGAGUAAACAAGCUCCAAUUGAGAUCAAGGGCAAAGAUAAUGAAGACAAUCAUCUAGAACCCUCGCACCAGUCCCCCUCUCGUCUCCAUUACUCCCAAAAAGAACCAUGUUUCCCUAUCUUCUUCAGAUUAUUUUUUACAAAAAAACCAAUAUAAUUUUAUAUUUUUAAACUCGACCUGCCAAAGCUAUGGAACAAAGUUCCACUACAUCUGAACUCUCGUACAUUGCGUAAAUUCAACGUGAAAAGCAAAUAAUUCACACACAAAAUUCAAAUAUACAAAUUGAAGCAGCUACGUAGAAGCAAAUACCGGAAAGGCAAAAGGAAAAAAGAAAAAUCCUCACGAAUUUCACAAAGCCAUGACGAUAGAAAGAAAAGCAGGCGCAAUAGUCCUGGAAACGUUAAUCGAGUCACAGCUGGUAACUGUAACGGAUCUGGGCACGUAAAAGCUUCCGGCAAAACGAGAAAAGAUAGAAAGUACAAGAGAAAGGAAGAAAAAACCAUGAGAGACGUACCAGCAGGAGCGAGUGGAUAAUAACAGAAGAAAAAUAAGCUCCUAGGGUUUGGAAUGGGACCAGCAAAAAGCCCAAGGACGAAGAAGAAGAAGUAGAAGAAGAAAUUUCUCUCUGUGAAAGAGGAGAAUCCAAAGAUGCAGAGAGGAGAGAGAGGAAUUAGCUUCCUGCUGCUAAUCUAUUGUUGCUCUGUUUGGCGAGAAAGAGAAAAUAAAAUAAAAAAGAAAUGCCGGUAACGAGAUGUGAGCGCGGAAGGGGAGGUGGUGGGGAAACUUUACGCGCGAGUGCCGGUGCGUAUAUUUGUUGGGCGAGUUGAAGUUACGUUGAGCACCGUCACGUGGUAUUAUUGGUACGUGAAAGUAACCCCAGGCUGCGCUAGCGCGUUAUUAUUUCUGCUUGUAUAUUUUUAUUUCAGGAUUUUCGGAAUCUUUUUACUUCCUGACUCUUUUCUUGCAAUUAAUUAUUUUCGCAGGGUGUUUUUUUAUACAAAAUAUUCAAAAUGUGAUAAGUUUAGGUAUAUAUCGAGAAAUGUUGCAACUUUUAUAUAGAUUUUUUGUCACCGAAUUUGAAGUUUCGGACGAACUAUGUCACGCUGUUAAUUUGUGCUUCACUCCGUCCACAAAAUUCGCCCUAGCCCGUACAUGUCAGAUUUGUACCGCUGAUGUGGCAUUCAAUUAUUUCUAAUUAAAACAGAUUUUAUUAACACAUUCUCCAUCUCCUCCAAACCAAAUUCCCUUUUCACCUUCUCGUCCCCCGCCUCUAUCGAAGGUAGACCGUUGUGACUGUGUGAUCGAAGAUAGCCUUGGAAUCUCGUGUACAUGUAGGCUUGAAUCUAUGGAAUGUGACAGGGUUUGGUUGAAAUCAUACCACCUCCACUAAUUUUUGCGAUCAUUGGAGUACACUAGCUUCUAAACAGUGAGAAGUGGGAAGAUCAUGACCGCGACAUUCUGAGCGGGAUGGUACAGACGAUUUGUGACAGCGGUGGGACUGCUAUACAGGCUUCCCGUAAAUUGGUUCAGUCGUAGUUCCAACCCGAAUCGGAGAAUGUGAAAGAGCCUAAAACGUCUGAGGCCCCAAAGGGUAGACCUCGUGCACGAAAGGCAGACGGCUGGAACCCUUCUUAGCACGAGCAUGCGAGUGCUCAUUGUACCCCGACCAAGGGCAAACCCAAGUCAGGUUCGCACGAUUUUAUACUACAUCACUGUCUUCAUCUUAUCGGUUGUGAUCACAAAAUAGCAUAACGUUACAGAUCAUUCAAACGCCUGUGAAGGGUACACCCACACCAAGCAUGUCGGGAGCCACUCCAGCAAGAUCCAUUCCAUGUAGAGGUGUGUAGCAGAUUCUUGAUCACGUCUAUGGAACUAUUGUACUAGAAUAAAAUCACCGUCCUAAUUAUUUAUUGCACCUCUAAAAUUUGAGUGCAACUCUUUAUCCAGUAUAUCCCCAUCGGACUCCGUGGACUGCUAAACAACGUGUUUGACGUUAUCGACGAUGGCCAUUGCGGGUUUAGAUGCGUGUCCCACUCAGUUCACGACUCGUGGAAAUGAGAUAGGAGCUUAUGGAUCAUGUUGUUUACUUGGCAAGUUGGUACCAUAUGGAGAAGAGUUGGAGACCAUUCUAGCAAGGUUAGGUUGGCUGAGCAAGGAACCAUGUGACGACCAAUGAUGGUUCUGGAACCUGGACCUGUUCGGAUUUGCCACUAUGCACAGUUGGACUUAUGUUGUGUUCGGCAUUGGGGGAUGGUCUCCCAUAUAAGGAGACAUUUCUUCUGUUGAGACUCCGGCGUGGGACACAGUCGUCAGAGAUGUGUGACGUACCUCGUGUGUACCAGUAAUCAUUGGGUGCGGUUAUAUUUGGAUGCUGACGACGUGGUGUUUUUAAUUUUGCAGCCGAACGCGUGGAAUUAUUGGGCCGAUGAAAGUGCAAAAGUGUGUGGGUGGGCAGUUUGUAUCAUGAUGAACGUGCAAAGUAUGAUAUGUUGGUUCCACCGCGUAAGUAGAUGACACUGUAAUCUCAUAUGUGUACUAAACGCUUGCAGUACGGUUUCCUAUUUGUUAAUCUAGCUCCAUUGACUCUUAAUUAUAUUUAAAUACCGUAACUCUUAAUUAUAUUUAAAUACCGUAACGUAAAAAAUGCAAACCAACAGGAAGGACGGGUCCAUUAGUCUUGUUCCGCCGGACGGAAAUCCCAUUCGUCCGGUUAGUUUUGACGGACGAAAAUUUCGUCUGUCUGGUUAGUUCUGUCCUAUUUUGGUUGUCGUACCUAGCUAUUCAUCCUUGUUAUAAUUAAUUACAUGUCAUUCAUACCUCGUUACAUAUAAGUCGUUAUACUCUGGUAUAGCGAUGUUAAACUCAUUAUAACUUGGUAUUCAUUAAAAACUUGUUACAACUUGUUAUAAGUAGGUAUUCAUUCAUGGUUUAACAGAAAACGUUUUUCAUGCAUAAUGUCAACCAUAACAGAAUCGCAUACUUAACAAAAUAGAGCAACAAAUAGAACAUAAUUGUAUGUCAUCUGCAACAGAGUCUCAUACAAAACAACAACAAAAUACAUGAACGUCUAAAACAUAACACUAACUGAGCAUAACGAACAUACCACUGUCUAGCGGUACGGUCCCUGCGCGUGGAAGUCCAUGUAGAGGUCCUCCAUGCUGGAACGCAGCUCCUCUAACUGUGUGAGUUACACACUGCCAGUCUCGAACUGGUGUGCAAGCAAACCGUUUAAGUAGGGGUGUAGAUGAUCUAACAUCCAGUAAGCCGACUGUACAAAGAAAAACAAAACUCAUUAAUCGUGUAUAAAGGUGCAAUAAUUAAUACAAUUCGAGAAUCACACUUACCAUAUAGGUCGACAAGCGAGCACCCCACUUACCAUAUCGAUCGACAAGCGAGCACCACUAAAAAUCGGGACUAAAAUGUGUGGGUGGUUGUGCCGUACCUACAACUCCAUAUAGCGCGGCUUGACAUCGACGUUGUCCUCCACACAUCGAAACAAAGUCUGAAGUGAGAUAAGUCGAACGUAUUUGGGGUCAGUCCAGGAAAAAUCCCGAGUUGGAUCCCACUCAACCACAUAUCCAUUAGCCUCAGCUAACCUAACAACCCUAAUGGGACGGACGAUAUGCGGAGGAAUCAUCUGCAUGUAGCCAAACUGUCUAACCACACUGGUGGGGUCGUAGUACUCGGGGGUAGUAGCGUAACAAAUCACCCCACGAAACACUGAAUCAGGAACCUCUAGCUCGGGCCAGUGACCGAAAGGCAGCCAAGUCACAUCAUGUGCGGUCAUAUCAUUGAGAAGAUGACGAUAACACUCUAACCUAUGGUUCUUGAACUUGUAUGGCCUCUCUAACUGCUCGCCACUACUCCACCUCCACCUAAAGCCUCACCCUCGCCCCGUUCCCGACACACUACUCUAGUAGAACGAGUACUAGAGAAAUGCUCGUGGAUCCAAGACUAAAGUAGUGUCGGACCGCCAACCAUCCCCUUGCACGAGGCAUGACUAGCCUUGUCGAGCUCGUGGUAUAACCAUGCUUGCGCGCCCUGGCCCCCAAGUGUACCGCAACAUCCCCCAUAAAGUACUCCCACAACACGAGACGAGUCUGAUCCACUUAAUUAUCUGUAAAUAAAGCAUAGAUCUCCCUUAAAAGAAAAUAGGCAUCUCAACUCAACAAGUGCAUUAUUCCAUAUACAAAAAAUGUUAGAUUGAGCCACAUAAAUGUUAUUACGGAGACGAGAUUCAACCCAAUCCGAACCUUUCGAGCUGUGGAGAUUGUAACUCAUGUUCACUUAUGUCAAUCUAAUCUCCAACUGCUUUGAUGAUGGACAUAGGGACACUUAGAAACUAAAAUCUAUCAUCGAUUCAAUUCCUCUUCUUUGAAUGGGAGAAAAGGUAACAAAUAGUGACGCAGACAGAUGACAACUGAGGGUUAUCCUUCACUAACUAAAACGCUAAGGUUCAAAUUCAAUGCCGACUAAUAAAUGUGGGAGAUUUAGACUACAUAGCGAAGGUUUGAGAUUAAACCACAAACCAUUGACUACGCAGUUAGCCUGUGCCAUUCAUCACAUUCCUUUACCAGGAGCUGCAAGAAAGGAAUUGCCUGUACCGAGAGACUAGGAUGACUUGGACUGCAAGGUAACAAAAGAAUUGCCCCUUCUUAAGUAAGGCGAGGUGGGUUGUUUUUCUUAAUGCCAUAACUUGCUGCAGAAUCCAUUCCUAGGCCUCUUGCUGGAUACGACAUCCGAGAACGAAUCAACCAACUGUUCGGCUAAGCUACCAUGGUCAUCAUUCAGAGUCC